UCCCAGUUACCCGGGCAGUCUCGUGUGAAAGUAUAACACACGACAAGGGUUGCGCUCGUUGCGGGACUUAACCCAACAUCUCACGACACGAGCUGACGACGGCCAUGCAGCACCUGUCACCAGGUUCCCGAAGGCACUUCCACCUUUCGGCGGAAUUCCUGGGAUGUCAAGCCUCGGUAAGGUUUUUCGCUUAGCAUCGAAUUAAACCACAUACUCCACUGCUUGUGCGGGUCCCCGUCAAUUCCUUUGAGUUUUAAACUUGCGUUCGUACUCCCCAGGCGGGAUGCUUAUCGCGUUAGCUUCUUGGCACAAAGGGUCGAGACCCCAUACCAAUAGCAUCCAUCGUUUACGGCGUGGACUAC
rnacentral:misc_RNA from 1 species